AAGCAUGUUAGAAGGACACUUCUAAUCAAUUGCUUGUAUCUUUCCCAAGCUUCAUAGAGGGAUUCAGCUUCCUUUUGUUUAAAGGUUUGAAUUUCCACUCUAAGCUU